CAUAAAUUAGAGAGAAAUUAGCAUAGAGUAUGUGUUUUCUUAUAGCUGCAUCCUAUGAGUUUCCCUCCAGCACCAUCUCCAUCAGAUACAUGACGCUUGGGAGGUAUGAUUGUUUUAGUGUUUUUGGUCGAUAAGAUUCCGUAAUUAGGCCCAUCAUAAUUGUCAGCACCAGGCCCACUGUGCUCUUAAUCCGGCCCUGCCCCU